GAGAGAAGUUACAAGGGCGAACGGAGGAUGCCUAGGCUUCCGGCGGCUACGAAGGACGCAGUAAGCUGCGAAAAUGUGCGGGGAUCCGCCAACAGGACUUGAUCCGCACGUAUCCGAAUGGGGAAACCCGGACGAGUGAAGCUCGUCCACGCCAGAGCGAACCCAGGGAACUGAAACAUCUUAGUACCUGGAGGAAAAGAAAGAAAGAUCGAUUUCCCGAGUAGUGGCGAGCGAAAGGGAAACAGCCCAAACCGGAGUUGUUACGGCAAUUCCGGGGUUGUAGGAGUCGUACCGCGUUCUUCUGAUCAAAAGCGGAAGCUUCUGGAAAGGAGUCCGGCACAGGGUGACAGGCCCGUACGCGUAGGAGAUCGGAAGAGCAAACGACCACCUGAGUAGGGCGGGGCACGAGGAACCCUGUCUGAAUCCGCGGGGCCCAUCCCGCAAGGCUAAAUACGACCGGAAGACCGAUAGUGAACCAGUACCG
rnacentral:rRNA from 1 species